rnacentral:rRNA from 1 species
AGUGAACGCUGGCGGUAGGCCUAACACAUGCAAGUCGAACGGCAGCACAGUAAGAGCUUGCUCUUACGGGUGGCGAGUGGCGGACGGGUGAGGAAUACAUCGGAAUCUACUUUUUCGUGGGGGAUAACGUGGGGAAACUUACGCUAAUACCGCAUACGACCUACGGGUGAAAGCAGGGGAUCUUCGGACCUUGCGCGAUUGAAUGAGCCGAUGUCGGAUUAGCUAGUUGGCGGGGUAAAGGCCCACCAAGGCGACGAUCCGUAGCUGGUCUGAGAGGAUGAUCAGCCACACUGGAACUGAGACACGGUCCAGACUCCUACGGGAGGCAGCAGUGGGGAAUAUUGGACAAUGGGCGCAAGCCUGAUCCAGCCAUACCGCGUGGGCGAAGAAGGCCUUCGGGUUGUAAAGCCCUUUUGUUGGGAAAGAAAAGCAGCAGGUUAAUACCCCGCUGUUCUGACGGUACCCAAAGAAUAAGCACCGGCUAACUUCGUG